AAACUGAAGAUGGCGACCGGCGCACGGGUGAGUAACACGUAUCCAACCUGCCGAUAACUCCGGAAUAGCCUUUCGAAAGAAAGAUUAAUACCGGAUGGCAUACGAAUAUCGCAUGAUAUUUUUAUUUAAAGAAUUUCGGUUAUCGAUGGGGAUGCGUUCCAUUAGAUAGUAGGCGGGGUAACGGCCCACCUAGUCUUCGAUGGAUAGGGGUUCUGAGAGGAAGGUCCCCCACAUUGGAACUGAGACACGGUCCAAACUCCUACGGGAGGCAGCAUG
rnacentral:rRNA from 1 species